GACGAACGCUGGCGGCGUGCCUAAUACAUGCAAGUUGAGCGCUGAAGGUUGGUACUUGUACCAACUGGAUGAGCAGCGAACGGGUGAGUAACGCGUGGGGAAUCUGCCUUUGAGCGGGGGACAACAUUUGGAAACGAAUGCUAAUACCGCAUAAAAACUUUAAACACAAGUUUUAAGUUUGAAAGAUGCAAUAGCAUCACUCAAAGAUGAUCCCGCGUUGUAUUAGCUAGUUGGUGAGGUAAAGGCUCACCAAGGCGAUGAUACAUAGCCGACCUGAGAGGGUGAUCGGCCACAUUGGGACUGAGACACGGCCCAAACUCCUACGGGAGGCAGCAGUAGGGAAUCUUCGGCAAUGGACGAAAGUCUGACCGAGCAACGCCGCGUGAGUGAAGAAGGGUUUCGGAUCGUAAAACUCUGUUGGUAGAGAAGAACGUUGGUGAGAGUGGAAAGCUCAUCAAGUGACGGUAACUACCCAGAAAGGGACGGCUAACUACGUG
rnacentral:rRNA from 1 species